ACAUGCAAGUCGAGCGGACCGACGGGAGCUUGCUCCCUUAGGUCAGCGGCGGACGGGUGAGUAACACGUGGGUAACCUGCCUGUAAGACUGGGAUAACUCCGGGAAACCGGGGCUAAUACCGGAUGCUUGAUUGAACCGCAUGGUUCAAUCAUAAAAGGUGGCUUUCAGCUACCACUUACAGAUGGACCCGCGGCGCAUUAGCUAGUUGGUGAGGUAACGGCUCACCAAGGCGACGAUGCGUAGCCGACCUGAGAGGGUGAUCGGCCACACUGGGACUGAGACACGGCCCAGACUCCUACGGGAGGCAGCAGUAGGGAAUCUUCCGCAAUGGACGAAAGUCUGACGGAGCAACGCCGCGUGAGUGAUGAAGGUUUUCGGAUCGUAAAACUCUGUUGUUAGGGAAGAACAAGUACCGUUCGAAUAGGGCGGUACCUUGACGGUACCUAACCAGAAAGCCACGGCUAACUACGUGCCAGCAGCCGCGGUAAUACGUAGGUGGCAAGCGUUGUCCGGAAUUAUUGGGCGUAAAGCGCGCGCAGGCGGUUUCUUAAGUCUGAUGUGAAAGCCCCCGGCUCAACCGGGGAGGGUCAUUGGAAACUGGGGAACUUGAGUGCAGAAGAGGAGAGUGGAAUUCCACGUGUAGCGGUGAAAUGCGUAGAGAUGUGGAGGAACACCAGUGGCGAAGGCGACUCUCUGGUCUGUAACUGACGCUGAGGCGCGAAAGCGUGGGGAGCGAACAGGAUUAGAUACCCUGGUAGUCCACGCCGUAAACGAUGAGUGCUAAGUGUUAGAGGGUUUCCGCCCUUUAGUGCUGCAGCAAACGCAUUAAGCACUCCGC
rnacentral:rRNA from 2 species